UGACGCUAUGGGUAACCUGGCAACCACAGAGCCCAAGCCUCGUUAGUUCAAUAGAAAACACAGAGUAAACAUACUGUGAAAAAUAGAAUUUAAAAAUGCUUUUUGAUAUAGUUUAAGCUCUUAAGACACCAAGCAAGCAAAUGAUAAAAUUAAAUUACGAUGUAGGGCUUAGCUUUUUUAAGGAAAACACCAAAUACCUCCACAACACGGGGCGCAACAGCUCAGAAGUUGGGUUUGGUGGCCUCCCCUACUGAGAGAUUGACAGAAGAUGAAUGGACCCAGGUAACGACAAGGUCUAUACUGCAAGAAGAAUCAGCUAAACUGUGUGCUGUACGCAGGGAGGAGUUUUGCCUUCACGCUCAGGUUGUCAAAGGGGUCUUGGAGAUUGUGCACUACGGGGAGCCCUUUCACUGGUGAUGGAGUGUGUUGGUCAGGCCAAAAACAAUGGGAAAUCAAUAUGCCUCCUCCUUGCACUCAAGAGGUCUGAGUAAACUGAAACUGUAUGCAGGCCUUUGAGCAAUAUUCUGGUAGAGAGUGCUGAAGGGAGCGUUAGGAAACGUGUAAUUCAUGAUGCUGCUUGACUGUACAGACGUCACUGUGCUACCAGGAUACAAGCAUAUUGGCGAGUCUAUGUUGCUUGUAAAAAAGUAAAGAAAUAUCCAUAAAAUCAAGUUCCCCCAAAGUCAAAAAGAUGAGUCGCCAGUUCAUGGAGCAGAGGUCGCAGGAACUGAAUGACAGCUUUGUCUGAUACUGUCACACCGACAUGGAGGCUUUUCUGAGUGAUAUCGACCGUUCGCUGUCAUCAAGCAGACGAGUCCUCGAACAGCUGGAGAGAAAAGGCGUCUCAGAACCUCGGGAGAACGAGUGGGGGCGACUGAAGAGCCAGGUCGGAAACAAGACACAGUUGGUCAUAAAAUCCCGAAUUCUGUUUCCAACCUUGCCUUCCUCCUAACAUGUUAAAGCUUGCAACGAGACAAGAGCUUCAAAGCUGCUGCAUAAAGAGCUCGGAUCUCCACAGAUGUGAUCAUUCACUUUACAAUGUGAAUGAAGAUAUGUGGGAGUAGUAGUCUUUUGUUUACUAAAAACAGAAGCAAGUCUGAUAAUGCACAGCAGACUUUUUAUUCAUAGCCUGGACUGCUACCGGGGAGCUGAAAAGACAUUAAGACGUACUGCUCCUUAAGGCUUCAUUGUGGGCUUUCUUUACCAACAGUGCUGUUUUUCCAUUCAGGAGACCUGGGUGUGUGCAAAAAAAAAAAAAAAA